GAGGAAUAUUGUCAAUGGCGAGAGCCUGAACCAGCCAAGUAGCGUGAAGGAUGAAGGCUCUAUGGGUCGUAAACUUCUUUUAUAUGGGAAUAAAGUUUUCCACGUGUGGAAUUUUGUAUGUACCAUAUGAAUAAGGAUCGGCUAACUCC
rnacentral:rRNA from 1 species